AUGCAGAUGUCAUCAGAUAGUGAAAGUGAUGAUGACACAAAUUAUGAAAGAAAGAAAAUUAUGGUUUUUCAAUAUCAACAUGAUAUGGACAUGCGUUGUUCGGGUGUGUCAUCCAUAGUUGGGAAGUAUUGUAAAAACUGGGUCAUGAAGGCCGAGCCUAGGACAUCUAGGUUAAGUGGAUCCGAAUGGUUGCAAGGGACUAUUAGCACACCCAGAGAGACGUACACAAUGUUGAGAAUGAAGGCAAAUGUGUUUUUUGAUCUUCAUGACAAAUUGGUGGGAGAGUAUGGCCUCAAAGAAACAUGCUUUGUUACCACUUAUGAGUCUCUGGCUAUGUUCUUGUGGACCUUGGGGGUGAAGCAAAUAGGAGAACCCAAAAUCAUUUCAAACAUGGAGCGGAUACAAUCCACCGUAAGUUCCAUGAGGUUCUAG
rnacentral:rRNA from 1 species